GGCUCAGAAUGAACGCCGGCGGCGUGCUUAACACAUGCAAGUCGAACGGGACUGUGGGGGCAACUCUGCAGUCUAGUGGCGGACGGGUGAGUAACACGUGGGUAACCUGCCCGGAAGUGGGGAAUACCUCGGGGAAACUCGAGCUAAUACCGCAUGACAUCUUCGGGACGAAAGUCCUGACGAUCAAAGCGGGGUCGCAAGAUCUCGCGCUACCGGAUGGGCCCGCGCCCGAUUAGCUAGUUGGUGGGGUAACGGCUCACCAAGGCGACGAUCGGUAACCGGCCUGAGAGGGCGAUCGGUCACACCGGAACUGAGACACGGUCCGGACUCCUACGGGAGGCAGCAGUGGGGAAUCUUGCGCAAUGGGCGAAAGCCUGACGCAGCAACGCCGCGUGGAGGAUGAAGGCCCUUGGGUUGUAAACUCCUGUCGGCUGGGAAGAAAUCGUUCGGGGCUAAUACCUCCGGACGUUGACUGUACCAGCAAAGGAAGCCCCGGCUAACUCUGUGCCAGCAGCCGCGGUAAUACAGAGGGGGCCAGCAUUAUUCGGAAUUAUUGGGCGUAAAGGGCGCGUAGGCGGCCAUGCGUGUCUCCCGUGAAAUCCCUCGGCUUAACUGAGGACGUGCGGGAGAAACUGCAAGGCUCGAGUCCGGGAGAGGGGGGUGGAAUUCCCAGUGUAGCGGUGAAAUGCGUAGAUAUUGGGAGGAACACCGGUGGCGAAGGCGGCCCCCUGGACCGGUACUGACGCUGAGGCGCGAAAGCGUGGGUAGCAAACGGGAUUAGAUACCCCGGUAGUCCACGCCGUAAACGAUGGGCACUUGGUGUCGCGGGUAUCGACCCCUGCGGUGCCGAAGCUAACGCAUUAAGUGCCCCGCCUGGGGAGUA
rnacentral:rRNA from 1 species